CUACUCUCUGCAACCCCCUCUCUGCAAUUUGCAACAAAGCCACCCUCCUCUGCUCAGUGUUCCCUUUCAACUUGUUCAAACUCUUCUCCACUGCCUCCUUCUCCAACAAGGCAACCCUUAACAAAGUAUUGAUAUCGCGAUUCUCCUCUGUCAAACUCACUAGACUAUUCUCCAAUUCCCUUAUCUCAAUCUUCUUCCUCUCCUUAAACUCAUUCACUUUUGAUUUUGCAUCGUUUGCUAACCUUGCAAUUGGCUUGAAUUCUUCCCAAAUUGCCCUUGAUCCACUGUCUAGUUCCAUUUCUACACUACCCUCAUCGUUAUUCAUCUUCUCAAUCACUUCCUCAUCAUCGACACACUCUAUGAUUCCGACCAAACAAUCUUUCACUGGCCUAAGAGAAUCCAAAGUCUUCAAAAAAAGCUGAUUCUUCCCUUCCACCUCCUUUAUCUUAAAUUCCAACUCUUCAAUCGCCCCCUUGACAGCUUCCACUUCCUUUCCAAGUUCUUCAUUUCUCAAAGAUUCCUGAUCGAUUGUUUUUGCAAACUCGUCUUCCCUUUCUUUAAAAGAGAUCUCAAGUUCACGAAUUUGUCCUUGAAGAGAGUCCCUUUCUCGCGUAGUUUCAUUGAUAACUGUUUUGAGAUCGACGUUGUGGUCCAGUGCCUCGUCUCUCUGCUGCUGGACAAGAAGGAGAUUUUCCUCCAUAAUGGAGUAUUUCGAUUGAAGGGUCUCAUAAGAUUGGCGGAGAGACUGGAGCUCAGCAAGAAGAUCAUCGUGAUUGUCUAUUUGGGGAUUGAUUGGGGAAUCGGUGCCGUUGAUUUGCGGUUGUUGGUGGUUCUCGGAGGUGGUGGUUUCCAUGGUCCAUAGAGUACAGGAUGAUUAGGGAUCUUCGAGAGAGAGAAGCUAAU
rnacentral:misc_RNA from 1 species